CUGUAAUUUCUAGUUCACUCUAGAAAGAACGUGAAACAGGGAGCAAAAGAGAAGAGGAGUUCUGUUUGGCAGGAAUAAGAAUGAGAAAGAGGGAGGGGACCAGUCUGAUCUCACUGGGGAGUUCCACAGCCGAGGGGCCACCACUGAGAAGGCCCUGUUUCUCGUCCC
rnacentral:lncRNA from 11 species